GUGACAUCAGCUCUGGCCAAGCCCAAUUAGAAGGCAGUUGUGCUGAGUUGGAAGCGGCCCAGAAGGCAGGCAGAUGAGCAAAAGCGAGCUGGGAUGGAUGAAUGCCAUCAGAACUCCUUCCUGCAUCUCCACUAGAGGGCUGUGCCAGCUGGGGCUUGAGGGUGGAAUGUGCUGUGCAGGGCACAAAGCCUCACUCCAGAAGGCACAAAUCGAUGCACAGCAUGCUCAGUAUCAUAAGGUAAGUAACAUACCAAGUCUGUUUCCUCAGGUAUGAUCUGAUUCCUUAGUAGGAUUGAGCAUUUCCAAGUAGUAGUAUGUACCAGGGGAGUGGAAAGGCAAAGGUUUGAGUUUUUGCUCUAAGAUUGUAGGUUUAUGAAGUGGAGUAGUGCUCCAGUGGGGAGACCUGUACCACAGUAAGUAAACAGCUCCUGCAGGAAAGUCCUGUAAGGGCUCUGACCAUCAGUAGGGUGGGAUAGAGGGUAAACCUUAUCCCUACCUUGCUUCACACCUACUGGCUGAUCUCAGGUUGCAAAAAUAGUCUUAAGGGGCUGGAUCAUGGCUAUUGAUGGAGAGUGAUCAGACCUGCUGUUGGAGAUAAGUGACAGUAAGUUGUCUUCUGAACAUUUGACUCCUUUUUUAUUUGUUAUGGCUCAAAUUUCCUUCUUGAGAAGAUUGAUUGGAAGCCUAGGGCUGAGGAUUAUAUGAACAUUUAACGUUUACCUAAAAUGGAUAUGCUCCCUAGUAUUAAAAAACAAACAUUGCUUAAGUAAGCAUUGAAGUUGCAGAACAAAGUGCAAGUGAAAUUGUAACUAUUAAUGUUACUGAUUUAUCUAGAAAAGUAUUGCUUGAAUUUAUACUGGAUAUAUCAAGAAUAUUUCUUUCCAAUGCAGAGAGGAAAUCUGGGAGCCUUACAUAAUUCCUCUGAAAUAAUUGCUGAAGUAGGAGGUGUAUGUUGGGGGGAUACAGAAAGGAAAUUUUAGAUUUUGAAAGUGGUCCAGAUAAAUAUCUUUAAUGCAGGGAUGCUUUCUUUUAUUCUAAUGACCCUUUUAGUAGUGAAUAGGAAUUCUCACGGUUUCUAGUGAAGAUAGUGCUGGAGAAAUGGCACUUGCUUGGCUUAAUGUACGAAAUUACUCAAAUGUAGGAAUAGUUCUGUUUAUAUUGCAAAUUAGCAGCACGCCUCAAAUAUACUGGGUGCUUUUGCAAUUAUUUCUUUUAAAUGCUCUAGCUAAUUUGUUGUUAAGACAUACAUGAGAAAAGAUCUGAUGUUAUCUGGUAUCUAGCCUUUCACUGCUUUUUUUAACCAAAUCUAAAUUUUAUGGGUUUCUAUCCAUUCCCAUAGAAGAUCAAUGGUAAUUGCUGAAGAUGCACAUAAGAUGUUAGUAUGAAAUCAGAAAGUAAACUGUAACGGUUCUUCUGGAUGAUUUUGUGUAAAGAACCUGCAAGAGACUGAGUGAUUAUCACACCAGAGUAUUCUAGACUCGACUUCAGAAGAUGGUCUUGCCCCUUCCCAAAGCACUGCCAGACCAGGUGAGUUGCCAGAGAUUUGUCCUCACUUACACUGUGCAACUUUUGGCUGUGCUCAUUGUGGGAAGGGUCUUUAAUGUAUUAUCUGAUGAAGCUUUACAGCCACAAGACUUGUUUUCCUGCAGACAUGCUCUGCACUUUGGAAACCUGCUUAAGAAUAAAAGAUGAUGUUUUUUUGAAAAGGGACAGUUUAAGUAUAUAAACUUUUUUUAGAAAAAUCCCAAAUGUUUUGUCACACCUGUGGCUGUUGCCACAGAGACAAAAUUGGUUUGGGGGAAGCAGGUCAGACAUAAGUCUCAUAUUUAAAAAAAUGUUUUUUGCUCACGACCCUCUGUCUUGUACUUAAUGACUUUUCAUCUGUACUUGCUGGCAUGAGGUGCAGUAGCAGAGAAGAAAGCAUCCAUAGAUUUCAAAGGCUUGACUUUGUGAAGUGUACUAGAGUAGUUGAACUGCACCUUCAGUAACUGCUAACUGUAAAAGGCUGUUAAAACUUAUGAGAAUUAAAUUAACUGAAAAGAGAUUUAAAACUUACUUAAAAUAAUUCAAAUCUUGCAGGUUCCUCAGAAGAAGAAUGGCCUGGCAGUACCCAGAAACAUUCCUGCAGCAAUUCUGUUGCUGAAUGAAGGAUUUUUUAAAAGUCUCCUGCUACUUUUGGAAUACAGCUUUGAGACAGAAGUUUAUUCCAAAAACUCAGUAAGAAAAAUUUGUAAUUGAGUUAGGGUCAUGUUAGUAUGCUUGCCAUUUGGUAAAGCUCCUCCUUGAGCUUUACAGCCGAAGUAAAUCUACAUAUAAAGAUACAUAAAAUGUGCUCCAAAUAUAGUGCUAGUUAUUCUGUUCUUUCAAACACCUUUUACUUUCCCACUUUUGUUAACUAGUAUGAUUUUCUAAGAGCUUAUGCCUCUUCACUCUGCCCCUUUCUCCAAAGGUGGCGUGCAGCCAUGUUCUUCAUCAGGUGCUUUAUCUCCUAUUCAGUAGCCUGUAGCCGAUAAGAUUGAGAUGAAAUUUUAAAUCGUGGCCUUGGCAAAAUAAGGAAUCUGCACUUAGCAGCUUCUGUCUCUGUUCAAAGACUGGCUCUAUUUAAAAAAAACCCAAAAACUUAAAAGCCAUGAAUGCAUAAAGAUGUUGAAACUGUGGGGUUUUUUGCCUUGAAUAACGAAAACAAAGUUUUUGAACGAAAGCCAGGCAUGAAAAUACUGCGUAAUGAGAGGGCAGUAAGUUCAUUCCUGUAAGAAACUGCUUCUGUUUUCAGCAAAAUGGUGAAGUUUCUACUGAAGGCUUGGCUGCAUCCUGACUCAGGUAUUCUAAUUGAAGUCAUCUAACUCAAAGCUCUAAAACAUGCCUGACAGAAUCCAUUAGGUAUCAUGGGUCACUCCAUAGGAAGUGUCUGAAGCAGUAAUUGUGGUACUGCAAUUUCUACCAUGCUUUUGAAUGAUGUAGACAGAUAUUUAAUGGAAUAUUAUGAGUUUCAGUUGAAGGUGGUGCUGACAUAAACAACUCCAUUAAAGUAGACUAUAUAAUAGUUUUGCCAUAGUAUUAUUUCAGUGUAUCAUUUCAAGCAGUUCUCUGUUUAAACCCUAAACAAAACCCACCAGAUACCACCACAUGAGCUGUUAGGCUUGGCAAGAUCAUGAGAUGGCUGACUGGUCUUCCAAUAGCUCUAAAUAAAUGGCAUGCAUUCCUUCUC